rnacentral:lncRNA from 1 species
AGAACAGUCAACUCUCUAUCCAGCUCCAGCUACGUCUCCCAAAAUGCAGCCCUCACCUCUAAGUUUAAUGGGGGGAAGGGCAGGCAUGAAACUGCUGGUUACAAUGUAAUGACAAGAGGGUGAGGCAGCAUGACUCUGGGACUCCUAACUCCCAAGUGUUGGGGCUCACAGAUUGCCCACAGGAAGUGACUUUCCAGCAGAGAGCUGGAGGUGGUGCACAGGUAAGGAGAGGAAAGGGCAAGUGGGUGUCUAGGCCCCGAGAUCAGAGGGUAGAGUCCCAAGAGGUCAAGGUGAAGGGUACCACCUUGAGGGAGGCCUCCAGGUGGGGAGUCUCAGAAGUGUGAACCAGGAGAGGUCGGCGGGGACCGGGUUGGCGGGCCAGAGAAGUUUCUGAGCACCUGGAGGACGCGGGGAGGCAAGGGAGGGGUUUAAGCCGGGGAGUGGGCCACGUGAUUGGCUAUGCUCAGGCUGAAGGGGAGGAGGAGGAAGCUGGAAGCCAAGAUGAGGAGGUGGCAGAGAUUCAGGCCAGAGUUGUGGGCCGCCGUCGGCAGCAAGAACAGAGAGAGAGGUGGACAGAUCUGAGAGAUACUGAGGUAGAACCACCAGGAAUCGGGGAUUUGGCUGGAUGUGGAGGGGUGAAGGAGGGGCCUCAGGCUGGCUGGCAGUGCCCCUUGCCAAGAAAGGGAGCCCCAGAGGAGGAAGUUUGGGGGCUGGGGAGACAAGCUCAGGGGUCAGUGUUGAGUUGGGGGCAGGGAUGAGCUCCCGUGCACUCCCGUUCUCCCAGUCUAGUCCCUUCUGGUUCUUCACGCAAACUUAAUCCACCAUCCCAGGUUUAAAACCCUUUGGGGGUGCUUAGGGGUCACAUCUCAAGAGGGAUUGGGGGGUAAAAAUCAGAGAGUCAAUCCUUGCAAAUCCCUUAAAUCUCCAAUAAAACUUAGCGCAGAAACGUACCUCCCUUCUUCGGCAAGCCUGCAGAGGCCGAUGUCUCCUCCGGUCCCAGAGCAGGAGGUGGUCUUGGUUUCUUCUUUUGAGGCGGGAGUGGAGACUGGCGUUUAGGGGCCAUGCUGUUAGGGAAGUCCCAGAACCAGACCACGAGUCUCCUCGCCCGUCCGGAAGCAGGCUGAACACUGAGACUGCCCCAGGUGCCAGCGGCUUAAAUCUGCACUGGAGCCGCCCUGCCUGGAAGGGAUAUUUACAUGACAGUGGGACACACACCCCGGCCCCCUCCCCCAGCCUCAUCCCACCCACCCUCCAAUCAGGAGAAAUUUCUUUUAGUUGCUCUCUGCCUCGCUCUGCAGGGGCACUCUUGGCUUUGGGGGAGGGGGCAAGUUCUUCCUUGAGGAGAGGAUCCCUGUGCUUUCUAGACCUCCUGGUUUCACGUGAAACCCCCGCAGCCUAUCCCCCAGUUCGUUCCCAAACCCCCAGGUAGACAGGCCUGCCCCUACUGAGAACUUAUCCUCUUUUUUUUUUCCUUUGGCCUCCAAAAGAUUUAAACACGUGCUGUUGCCUCACCUAAGCUUGGAACAUUCCUCAGUAAACCACACCCCCACUGCCCGGUUUCGCUAACUCCUUCCUGACCUCCCUUGUCUCUGCUUGAAGGGAUAGAUUAAUGUUGAAAAAAAGAUUUCCCAAUCAAGAAUUACAAAGGAAUUAGAUGCCUGCUUUAAAAAAAAAAAAAAGAAGAAAGAAAGAAUUACAGAGAAAGAGGGAAAAGCAGGAAACUUUGGAGACUUGGAGUAUUUAUUCAUUCUUCACUUGUUUCAGAAAGGGAUACAAGUUAAGAGAAGAGGGUUUAUUUUAGCUGGGCGUGGUGGUGGGCACCUGUAAUCCCAGCUACUUGGGAGGCUGAGGCAGGAGAAUCGCUUGAACCUGGGAG